GACGAACGCUGGCGGCGUGCUUAACACAUGCAAGUCGAACGGAAAGGCCCUGCUUUUGUGGGGUGCUCGAGUGGCGAACGGGUGAGUAACACGUGAGUAACCUGCCCUUUACUUUGGGAUAACUUCAGGAAACUGGGGCUAAUACCGGAUAGGAGCUCCUGCUGCAUGGUGUGGGUUGGAAAGUUUCGGCGGUUGGGGAUGGACUCGCGGCUUAUCAGCUUGUUGGUGGGGUAGUGGCUUACCAAGGCUUUGACGGGUAGCCGGCCUGAGAGGGUGACCGGCCACAUUGGGACUGAGAUAGGGCCCAGACUCCUACGGGAGGCAGCAGUGGGGAAUAUUGCACAAUGGGCGGAAGCCUGAUGCAGCAACGCCGCGUGCGGGAUGACGGCCUUCGGGUUGUAAACCGCUUUCGCCUGUGACGAAGCGUGAGUGACGGUAAUGGGUAAAGAAGCACCGGCUAACUACGUG
rnacentral:rRNA from 1 species